rnacentral:lncRNA from 1 species
CACUCGGCCAGGCGCCGGCGACCUGAGGGGAGAGGGAACGCAGCUGAAAGCGUGAACUGUGAGAUGCUUUUGACAAGUUAUAAUAAGGGAGAGAUGGUAGUAAAGGAAGUGAAGAAGCGACGUGAAAUUGAAGGAAAAGAAAAUGACCUGCCUUCUUACCGCGGUUGGAAUACACACCCAAACGAGAGGUAGCAGAGAAGCAAGCAGUGCAUUCUGUUAAAAAUUAUUGUGUCCUCAUUUGAGAGAGGAGGGAUCCUCAAAUAAUACAACUAUGUGCAAAGCAGGAAGUGAAAUCCUUCUCAGUCCUCUCCCCAGUUGUAAUCCAAGCCUUCCACAUCUUUCCUGUAUGUGCAUAACCAUGUUAUUUUGCUUUCUUAUGAAAAUGAGAUUAUGCAUACUGUUCGAUAAUCUGUUUCAGAUUAAAUAU